rnacentral:rRNA from 1 species
UACGUAGGGCGCAAGCGUUGUCCGGAAUUAUUGGGCGUAAAGAGCUCGUAGGCGGCUUGUUGCGUCUGCUGUGAAAUCCCGGGGCUUAACCCCGGGCGUGCAGUGGAUACGGGCAGGCUGGAGGCAGGCAGGGGAGAAUGGAAUUCCCGGUGUAGCGGUGAAAUGCGCAGAUAUCGGGAGGAACACCGGUGGCGAAGGCGGUUCUCUGGGCCUGUUCUGACGCUGAGGAGCGAAAGCGUGGGGAGCGAACAGG